GACGAACGCUGGCGGCGUGCUUAACACAUGCAAGUCGAACGGAAAGGCCCUGCUUUUGUGGGGUGCUCGAGUGGCGAACGGGUGAGUAACACGUGAGUAACCUGCCCUUGACUUUGGGAUAACUUCAGGAAACUGGGGCUAAUACCGGAUAGGAGCUCCUGCUGCAUGGUGGGGGUUGGAAAGUUUCGGCGGUUGGGGAUGGACUCGCGGCUUAUCAGCUUGUUGGUGGGGUAGUGGCUUACCAAGGCUUUGACGGGUAGCCGGCCUGCGAGGGUGACCGGCCACAUGGGGACUGAGAUACGGCCCAGACUCCUACGGGAGGCAGCAGUGGGGAAUAUUGCACAAUGGGCGGAAGCCUGAUGCAGCAACGCCGCGUGCGGGAUGACGGCCUUCGGGUUGUAAACCGCUUUCGCCUGUGACGAAGCGUGAGUGACGGUAAUGGGUAAAGAAGCACCGGCUAACUACGUG
rnacentral:rRNA from 1 species